GACGAAGGAUGCAAGCGUUAUCCGGAUUCAUUGGGUUUAAAGGGAGCGUAGGCGGAUCUGUAAGUCAGUGGUGAAAUCUCUUCGCUUAACGAAGAAACUGCCAUUGAUACUGCAGAUCUAGAGUACAGUUGCCGUUGGCGGAAUAUGACAUGUAGUGGUGAAAUACUUAGAUAUGUCAUAGAACACCGAUUGCGAAGGCAGCUAACGAAGCUGUAACUGACGCUGAGGCUCGAAAGUGCGGGGAUCAAACAGGAUUAGAUACCCUGGUAGUCCGCACUGUAAACGAUGAUUACUCGUUGCUGGAAGGUAACUUUCAGUGACCAAGCGAAAGCGAUAAGUAAUCCACCUGGGGAGUACGCCGGCAACGGUGAA
rnacentral:rRNA from 1 species